GGACAGAAGGGAGCUUGCUCCCGGAUGUUAGCGGCGGACGGGUGAGUAACACGUGGGUAACCUGCCUGUAAGACUGGGAUAACUCCGGGAAACCGGAGCUAAUACCGGAUAGUUCCUUGAACCGCAUGGUUCAAGGAUGAAAGACGGUUUCGGCUGUCACUUACAGAUGGACCCGCGGCGCAUUAGCUAGUUGGUGGGGUAAUGGCUCACCAAGGCGACGAUGCGUAGCCGACCUGAGAGGGUGAUCGGCCACACUGGGACUGAGACACGGCCCAGACUCCUACGGGAGGCAGCAGUAGGGAAUCUUCCGCAAUGGACGAAAGUCUGACGGAGCAACGCCGCGUGAGUGAUGAAGGUUUUCGGAUCGUAAAGCUCUGUUGUUAGGGAAGAACAAGUGCGAGAGUAACUGCUCGCACCUUGACGGUACCUAACCAGAAAGCCACGGCUAACUACGUGCCAGCAGCCGCGGUAAUACGUAGGUGGCAAGCGUUGUCCGGAAUUAUUGGGCGUAAAGGGCUCGCAGGCGGUUUCUUAAGUCUGAUGUGAAAGCCCCCGGCUCAACCGGGGAGGGUCAUUGGAAACUGGGAAACUUGAGUGCAGAAGAGGAGAGUGGAAAUUCCACGUGUAGCGGUGAAAUGCGUAGAGAUGUGGAGGAACACCAGUGGCGAAGGCGACUCUCUGGUCUGUAACUGACGCUGAGGAGCGAAAGCGUGGGGAGCGAACAGGAUUAGAUACCCUGGUAGUCCACGCCGUAAACGAUGAGUGCUAAGUGUUAGGGGGUUUCCGCCCCUUAGUGCUGCAGCUAACGCAUUAAGCACUCCGCCUGGGGAGUACGGUCGCAAGACUGAAACUCAAAGGAAUUGACGGGGGCCCGCACAAGCGGUGGAGCAUGUGGUUUAAUUCGAAGCAACGCGAAGAACCUUACCAGGUCUUGACAUCCUCUGACAACCCUAGAGAUAGGGCUUUCCCUUCGGGGACAGAGUGACAGGUGGUGCAUGGUUGUCGUCAGCUCGUGUCGUGAGAUGUUGGGUUAAGUCCCGCAACGAGCGCAACCCUUGAUCUUAGUUGCCAGCAUUCAGUUGGGCACUCUAAGGUGACUGCCGGUGACAAACCGGAGGAAGGUGGGGAUGACGUCAAAUCAUCAUGCCCCUUAUGACCUGGGCUACACACGUGCUACAAUGGACAGAACAAAGGGCUGCAAGACCGCAAGGUUUAGCCAAUCCCAUAAAUCUGUUUUCAGUUCGGAUCGCAGUCUGCAACUCGACUGCGUGAAGCUGGAAUCGCUAGUAAUCGCGGAUCAGCAUGCCGCGGUGAAUACGUUCCCGGGCCUUGUACACACCGCCCGUCACACCACGAGAGUUUGCAACACCCGAAGUCGGUGAGGUAACCUUUAUGGAGCCAGCCGCCGAAGGUGGGGCAGAUGAUUGGGGUGAAGU
rnacentral:rRNA from 1 species